CGGGAAAUCAUUUCGGGGGUAUUGAGAGCGGCGUACGGGUGCGGAACACGUGUGCAACCUGCCUUUAUCAGGGGGAUAGCCUUUCGAAAGGAAGAUUAAUACCCCAUAAUAUAUUAUUCGGCAUCGGGUGAUAUUGAAAACUACGGUGGAUAGAGAUGGGCACGCGCAAGAUUAGCUAGUUGGUGAGGUAACGGCUCACCAAGGCGACGAUCUUUAGGGGGCCUGAGAGGGUGAUCCCCCACACUGGUACUGAGACACGGACCAGACUCCUACGGGAGGCAGCAGUGAGGAAUAUUGGACAAUGGGUGGAAGCCUGAUCCAGCCAUCCCGCGUGCAGGAAGACGGCCCUAUGGGUUGUAAACUGCUUUUAUCUGGGGAUAAACCUACUUACGUGUAAGUAGCUGAAGGUACCAGAAGAAUAAGCACCGGCUAACUCCGUGCCAGCAGCCGCGGUAAUACGGAGGGUGCAAGCGUUAUCCGGAUUUAUUGGGUUUAAAGGGUCCGUAGGCGGACUGAUAAGUCAGUGGUGAAAUCCGACAGCUUAACUGUCGAACUGCCAUUGAUACUGUUAGUCUUGAGUAAGGUUGAAGUGGCUGGAAUAAGUAGUGUAGCGGUGAAAUGCAUAGAUAUUACUUAGAACACCAAUUGCGAAGGCAGGGUCACUAAGUCUUAACUGACGCUGAUGGACGAAAGCGUGGGGGAGCGAACAGAUUAGAUACCCUGGUAGUCCACGCCGGUAAACGAUGAUUACUCGUUUUUGGGGUUUUUAUGAUUCAGAGACUAGCGAAGUGAUAGGUAUCCACUCGAGUACGUCGCAGAAUGAACUCAAGGAAGUGAACGGGGUCCGGCCAAGCCGUUGAGCAUGUUGUUUCA
rnacentral:rRNA from 1 species